GACGAACGCUGGCGGCGUGCUUAACACAUGCAAGUCGAGCGGUAAGGCCCUUUCGGGGGUACGACGAGCGGCGAACGGGUGAGUAACACGUGGGUGACCUGCCCUUAGCUCUGGGAUAAGCCUGGGAAACUGGGUCUAAUACCGGAUAUGACUCCAUAACGCAUGUUGUGGGGUGGAAAGCCUUGUGCGGCUAGGGAUGGGCCCGCGGCCUAUCAGCUUGUUGGUGGGGUGAUGGCCACCAAGGCGACGACGGGUAGCCGGCCUGAGAGGGCGACCGGCCACACUGGGACUGAGACACGGCCCAGACUCCUACGGGAGGCAGCAGUGGGGAAUCUUGCGCAAUGGGCGAAAGCCUGACGCAGCGACGCCGCGU
rnacentral:rRNA from 1 species